rnacentral:rRNA from 1 species
AGUGAACGCUGGCAGUAGGCCUAACACAUGCAAGUCGAACGGCAGCACAGUAAGAGCUUGCUCUUACGGGUGGCGAGUGGCGGACGGGUGAGGAAUACAUCGGAAUCUACUUUUUCGUGGGGGAUAACGUAGGGAAACUUACGCUAAUACCGCAUACGACCUACGGGUGAAAGCAGGGGAUCUUCGGACCUUGCGCGAUUGAAUGAGCCGAUGUCGGAUUAGCUAGUUGGCGGGGUAAAGGCCCACCAAGGCGACGAUCCGUAGCUGGUCUGAGAGGAUGAUCAGCCACACUGGAACUGAGACACGGUCCAGACUCCUACGGGAGACAGCAGUGGGGAAUAUUGGACGAUGGGCGCAAGCCUGAUCCAGCCAUACCGCGUGGGUGAAGAAGGCCUUCGGGUUGUAAAGCCCUUUUGUUGGGAAAGAAAAGCAGCAGGUUAAUACCCCGCUGUUCUGACGGUACCCAAAGAAUAAGCACCGGCUAACUUCGUG